CCUGAACCAGAACGGAAUCUGUACAUUUUCUAAAAUGAUAGAACUGGCACAAAAUCAGAUUGCUGAACUCUCGAAACAAACUAAUGUUUCAUUCAGUCCAAGUCCUGGUUGUAAGGUUCAUGCAAGCUCCUGUAGCAGAAAACAUUUGGAGCUCCUAAGGAAAGACGGCUAUCUUAAAUAUAGAAUGUAGUUAGGAGGCCAUGUAUGAAGUCUUUUGCUGAACUGAGAGCGAGCGAGUGAGCAUGUGAGCCCUGUCAUUAUGCAGCAUCAGCUGUGGAUCCCUGCCUGGUUAACCCACAGGUCUCAAGGCCCUGGAAGACAACAUUAGCAAUGAACCAGGCUUCCACAUUUCCUGCCUCCUCUUAAUUCAUAACAUUUCCAAACUGCUAAGCUGCUCCUAGAAGCCUGUACCAUUGCCUUGUAGGGAAAGCGCUGGCAGAAUCUCUUUUCAUUCGUGUUGCAUAAGAACAUCGUCAUCAUUUCAAUGAUUUAACCCUGAUUAAAUUUAGCUGUCAGCCUUUAAAGUUCUCUGAGACGCUUUCAAACCCAGAAAGGGAAGAGGCAGGUUCUCUGCCAUCCCUUCCCUCCUACCUUCACGCAAGCUCCUUUCUGAGCAGCUGGGGGAGGCCCGCGUCAUUCAAAGAGUAAUCCUCUGCCAGGCUGGGGGAUGCGGGCUUCGAAUGGAUUCUUCUGCCCUGCAGUCCUGCUGGGGAAGGUGGUGGCGGGACCUCCCCAACUGCCUGCCACUUUCGCAUCGCUCUAGUUUAAAUUGCGACCUUCAAUUUCUCGCUUCUCAGUCCUUUACAGAGAAGAUCUUAUUUCAUCUUCACAACAACCCAAGAUGGACCACACCAAGUACUUUGCAUACAGUAUCCUCUUCAGUCCUCACUCUACUCGGUGAGGUAGGUGACCUCAUCCCACAAUGUACCUGAGAUUCCCAGAGUUUUAUCAACUCACCUAAUGUCCCAGAAGCUGGAAGCAGAGCCAGGAUUUGAAAUAAGGCCCAUCUGCCUCCAAUUUGAAGAAAUUCAACAAAAAACUAAGGAAUACCUCCUCUUGGGCAUGCUCAUCCCCUUCCCAUGCAGCAUGUUGCCACAAUACCCUUGGUGUCAGAGGCACAGCCAUAAUCACAUUCUCAGGUGCUUGGUUAGGGCAUCCUUGAAAGCCUGACUUUGGUGGCAGCUUUUUGGUCUGCUUAUUAGAAAAAGUCACAAAGAUCCCAUUCGUUGGUAUAAAAUUAGAGACAGAAGCUGUGUAGGACAGCGGGUAAGAUGAGCAGCAUUCUCAGCUGGAAAAUCGAGAAUCCUCCUCCCGACUUCCGUCCUCUCCUCUUCUGCUCUUUAGCAACUCAUGCGCUCGUAGUUCACGUGCAGCCAUUUUUGUGGACAUGUUCCUGAUGGAUGAUGAGAACCUGUCGUGAAAUGGUGCACCAGGAGGAGAGAGGAGAGCCCGGAGUCCACACCUGCACCCUUUGCUUUGUGAAAUUCCAGACUGUUUCAUCCGCUCUACCUCAUCCUAAGAACUCCAGAUUCCACUUUUCUUAAUGACUUUCCCCUCCUUAAAAGCCUACACAGUUGUCUUUGAAGAAGUUAACUUUGAAGAAGGAGAAAAAGAAUAGAUGAAUCAUUUGCAGGAAACAGGGGGAGAGACGUGUGGUUGGAACAGCAGAUGGCUGAGCGUGUGGGCACAUAGCUGUCUCUGUGGUUCCUUCCACCACCCUCUGGAAAUGAAUCCUUUGGAAGUGUACACUCAUUCCAGGGUGGGGGCUGCACCCGCUUUCAGGUACUAACAUGUAAAUCCACAUCCGCUAGGAUUCUUCUCAGACAUCAAAACUCCGGGAGGGUGGGAAGGCCAGGCUCAGGCCCAGAUUGGACGAUUUAUCCUCUCCUUGAAGUUCUG
rnacentral:lncRNA from 1 species